rnacentral:rRNA from 1 species
AGAGUUUGAUCCUGGCUCAGAUUGAACGCUGGCGGCAGGCUUCACACAUGCAAGUCGAACGGUAACAGGAAGGAAGCUUGCUUUCUUUGCUGACGAGUGGCGGACGGGUGAGUAAUGCUUGGGAAUCUGGCUUAUGGAGGGGGAUAACUACGGGAAACUGUAGCUAAUACCGCGUAAUAUCUUCGGAUUAAAGGGUGGGACUUUCGGGCCACCUGCCAUAAGAUGAGCCCAAGUGGGAUUAGGUAGUUGGUGGGGUAAAGGCCUACCAAGCCGACGAUCUCUAGCUGGUCUGAGAGGAUGACCAGCCACACUGGAACUGAGACACGGUCCAGACUCCUACGGGAGGCAGCAGUGGGGAAUAUUGCACAAUGGGGGGAACCCUGAUGCAGCCAUGCCGCGUGAAUGAAGAAGGCCUUCGGGUUGUAAAGUUCUUUCGGUGAUGAGGAAGGUGUUUGUUUUAAUAGAACAAGCAAUUGACGUUAGUCACAGAAGAAGCACCGGCUAACUCCGUGCCAGCAGCCGCGGUAAUACGGAGGGUGCGAGCGUUAAUCGGAAUGACUGGGCGUAAAGGGCACGCAGGCGGUGACCUAAGUGAGAUGUGAAAGCCCCGAGCUUAACUUGGGAAUUGCAUUUCAUACUGGGUCGCUAGAGUAUUUUAGGGAGGGGUAGAAUUCCACGUGUAGCGGUGAAAUGCGUAGAGAUGUGGAGGAAUACCGAAGGCGAAGGCAGCCCCUUGGGAAUAUACUGACGCUCAUGUGCGAAAGCGUGGGGAGCAAACAGGAUUAGAUACCCUGGUAGUCCACGCUGUAAACGCUGUCUGAUUUGGGGAUUGGGCUUAGAGCUUGGUGCCCGUAGCUAGCGUGAUAAAUCGACCGCCUGGGGA